UACGGAGGGUGCAAGCGUUAUCCGGAUUCACUGGGUUUAAAGGGUGCGUAGGUGGGGAGGUAAGUCAGCGGUGAAAUCCCCGAGCUUAACUUGGGAAUUGCGCUCGAAACUACGUGGCUCGAGUGUGGCAGAGGAAGGUGGAAUUCCACGUGUAGCGGUGAAAUGCGUAGAGAUGUGGAGGAACACCGAUGGCGAAGGCAGCCUUCUGGGCCAACACUGACGCUCAUGCACGAAAGCGUGGGGAGCAAACAGG
rnacentral:rRNA from 1 species